rnacentral:misc_RNA from 1 species
UGGUUCUGGCAUCGAUGAAGAACGCAGCGAAAUGCGAUAAGUAAUGUGAAUUGCAGAAUUCAGUGAAUCAUCGAAUCUUUGAACGCAUAUUGCGCCCUCUGGUAUUCCGGGGGGCAUGCCUAUUCGAGCGUCAUUACUACCCUCAAGCUAUGCUUGGUAUUUGGUCCUGCCUGCUAGGCAGGUUAUAAAAUCAGUGGCGGUGCUACUUGGCUCCAGGCGUAGUAAAUCAUAUCGUCUUAGGGUGUCUGAGUAUGUGCCUGCCAGCAAUCAUUAUUUUAACAGGUUGACCUCGGAUUAGGUAGGGAUACCCGCUGA